rnacentral:rRNA from 1 species
UACGAAGGGGGCUAGCGUUGUUCGGAAUUACUGGGCGUAAAGGGCGCGUAGGCGGUGCCUCAAGUCAGGCGUGAAAGCCCCGGGCUCAACCUGGGAAUGGCGAUGGAUACUGGCUCGCUAGAGUGCGGUAGAGGAGAGUGGAAUUCCCGGUGUAGCAGUGAAAUGCGUAGAGAUCGGGAGGAACAUCAGUUGCGAAGGCGGCUCUCUGGACCAGCACUGACGCUGAGGUACGAAAGCUAGGGGAGCAAACGGG